CCCACCGGGCGGAGCAUGCCCAGUACGGCGGCCCGCAGGCUGACCGGGUUGGUCGCCGCCUCGCUGCCCGCCUCUACGGUGGGGUCCGGGUCUUCCCGCGCCACCAGCUGGCCUCCGCCCGACCCGUGCGUCGGCCUGCGCUCCUCCUCCCUAGGCUGGUCCGGCCCGCGUCUCAGGCUCUGUGCCUCAGUUUACCGAUUGUUAGCCUUGCAGGCGCCGGCUGCCGUGUGCAGGGCAGGUGCAGAGGCGCCGGCGGGGGGCUUGAGGCCUGGCGCCGCGCGAGAGCCCGCGGAGCCGACUUGCUGGUCCUGGUACAGGCCCUGUGCGCCUGCAGCUCUGCGUGGCUGCUCAGGACUCAGCUCGCGCCAGGAGAGGUGACAGCCGUCUGGGGCUCCUCUGUCCUGCCUGGUCCCCUGGCAUGGGCACACUCCGGCUCCUGGACCCUGGAAGCCAGGCCUGUCUCGGUGACUGUGAGUGAGCACAGGGAUGCCAGACAACCUCUUGGUGUCAUGUGGACAUUCUUGAUCUAUGUUCCCCCAAAAAGAAUGUUGGAGUCCUAACCCUCUGUACUUAAUGGGACCUUAUUUGGAUAUAGGGUCUUUACAGAGGCUGCAUCAUGGACCCCUCAAGGGCCCCACCUGGGCCCCACCUUGGCUGAGUCACUUUGAAACAUCUGCUCAUGGAAAAUGAAGCACCUCCUGAUGGCACAUGGUGAUCAAAAAGGAGAGGAAAGUGGCGGGAUCACACCGCAGCACGAGGUCCAGGGAGGAACCUGGAGGCCUGUUGCUCAUCUGCAUCCCAGCGUUCCCCGCCUGCAUUGUCCACUUCACGUCCUUGCCCACGAGUCCAGAUGAAAACGGGAGGUCCACAUUGCAAAGGGGGGAUGUCCCUGAAACUGGUCCCUCCUGCCAUUGCACUGCCUGUGACUCCAGGGCAGAGUAGAAGCUGCCUUGGAAGGGACAGGAUUCCUUGGACAGUGUCACUGAAACAUGCCUUCCACCUCUGGGUCCCACGAAAAAUUAGACUUCAUCUAAUUCUUGAAUUUAUUAAGCUGAAGGCUGCAGCCCUUUCUGAAUGCAGAAUCAGAAACCACGGCUUUAAAAACAGAAGACUGUGGACAAUCUUUCCUAACCAUAAAAUUAUUUCCAUUCUCCAACCAUCAAGUUCUUAAAUGGAUUUUGUAGAUGUGCAAAAACUCAAAGCAGCUCUGUUAAAAAGAAGGAAAGAUGUCAGGCUGAAAAUAAGGAAAAUCAGAAUGGGAGACGAGGACACAGUCUGUGAACGCCCCGGCCUUCACAGCAGCCCCGGCCCUGUGAUUAACCUACGCUAACCCCAAAAAUCUAAAUCAUUCUCACUUCCCAGGAGCUUAUAAGCCAGACAGCUGUUAAGGGGAGCAACUCAUAAUAUUACUGCAAAAUUUCACAGUUGAAAGUCAAAUAGCAAUGAUUUUGCUCUGCCAGCUGGCCUCCACCUUGCCCACGUCCACGUGCCGAAAGUUCCCGGGCAGUGAGUGCACACAGCAUGGACCAGGAUGCUUGUGCCCACAGCUCUUCAGGGAAAGGCAUGUCACCAAGGCUAAGCACGCACUUCUUCUCGAUCAAAAUUCUAACUUCAUGGUAACCGGAAAAUUAAUGCCAACAAUGGCGGUAAUACGAACCUUCCAGUUACCCCGUGUGGGUACCUAUCAACUGGCCCACUGGGUAAUAGAGGCUGAGAUGGCGGCGAGCUGGAGGCCCAGGAGAGCCCAUGGUGUAGCUCCAGCCUGAGUCUGAGUCGGAGGGCAGGAGACCAGUGUCCCAGCUCGAGGACACACCCGGGCAGAGCGAGCUCCCCAUCACUGGACCUUCUGUUUCAUUUUGACGCUCAAAGGGUUCGGCGAGCCCCGCCCACCUUGAGGAGGGCAGUUCGCCUUAUUCCGUCUACUGCUCCGGAUGCUGAUCUCACCUGGAAACACCCUCACAGACAGACCCAGACUAAGGCUCACCCAAAUAUCUGGGCACCCUUGUGGCCCAGCCAAGAGGACAUAUUCCAUGAACCACCAGAUGCUGGUUCUUAAACGCCACCCUCACUGACUCCUCCACCGGCUGUAACUCAGACCACACAACCCGAGAGCCUGGUGGAACCUCAGUUCUGUGGCCAUUUCUUAAAGGGGACUCCCUGGUCUUUGGGCUGCAGAUCUAGAGUCACCGGCACUCCUGAGGAGGACAGGAGGUCAUUGCCUUGCAUCUGAGCCAUCUUCAAGCAGGAGCUGCUGUUCAGAUAUGAAAUGUGUGCGGAACUAGCCUGUUAGAAGUGCCCUCUGUGCUUCCCCUGGCUUCUGAGCACAGCCCGCACCCACUGCCCAGCCCUCCUGCACCCUCCCCGGGCCUUCCUCCCUCCACCUCUCUUUCUUCUGCAGGUGAGCUCCCCCUCCAGAGGGAGGAGGCAGGCCAAGCCACGCUUCCUUCCCAACCUGGCUCCCUCCAUCCUUCAUCAUUCUUUUUGAAAAAAUCCUCUGUCAUUUGGCUGCCAGGGAGGCGGCGACAAUUCUGAAACCUUACGGUGGCACCAGAGAAUAAAGCUGGGAAUUAUUUGGGCACAGUGUUGAGACAGCAAGUGACAGGGUGGAGGAAGAAAGCCAGGCUAGCUGCGCAGAGCCCCUGCUGAGGAAGACGGAGCCCAGGAGCCCAGAUGGGGCGCAGCCCAAGGGAAGGUCGGAGUCCACACGACAGCUCAGGGUGGCAGGAAGGAGACACAGCCGCAUGGCGAGACGGAGCCUGGUCCGCCUUCUGAAGUGCUCCAUACAGUGAUGGCACCCCCAGUCAUGGUUUCACUGCCCGGGGUUUCAGUUCUGCACCAUCAGCUGUGGUCUGGAAGCAGAUGAUCGUCCUUCUGAUGCAGACAGAAAGCAGCUUGCAGCCUGACGCUGUGUCGCCUGCCGGUGUCCCCACCUCACUGCCUCUCAUGGUGUACACGCUUCACCAUCUCACGGCCUCACGGGGAGAGGGUUUGAGAUGCAAACCCACCUGGACUUCCUGUAUAUCUGGCAAUCCCACUCUGGACUACUGCAAGGGGGCAAGGGCCUGUCACCACCACUCAUCUCCAAGACCACCUCCUCCUCUGGGCUUGGGCUCCAGGCCCUCUUCCUUCAACUCUAGCUGAAUCACAGUGCAAAAGGCAAGAUACUGGUUGUUUUGCAACUACUGCCCAUAUUCCACUAAGUUUAGAGAAUUGGAAUACAGUGGACACACCGUCACAUGAACUCUAUGCUGAACAUAAUUCCACCCUUGAUGAGUGAAUGUGCUCUGUGAUCCCAGCAGACCUGCUGUUAAUCGGGGCACAGGGUGAGUGGGAGGGUGCGGCUGCAGCUUCGCUCCUCAGAACCGAACGCGGAGAGCCUGCUGUGGCAGGACCCCCACCGACCUGCCUUGCAUCUAGAGUCCAUCCAGAGAAAAGACUGAUGUCUGUGUCUUCAGCAGGAAGAAAAAAUGCAUUUCGCUAAUGAGAACAAAACCUCAUGUGGCACAACAGAAGGGCGCUGUGUCUCAUUCCCAGGAGGUCCGCGGCCUGGCGGGUGGGGCAGAGGGGCCACUGACCACGCUCUUCUCCAGGUGUGGUCCUCUCAGCCAAAUGAGCGAACCACAUCUCUAAUUAGAAUUAUAUGCAGAAUGAGAAGAUUCUUCAAGGACCGUCUCUGGGUCCUCAUCAUCUUAAGUAUCUGUUGCCAUGGAAGCCAGCGAGCAGCUCCAAAAAUCUAGAGUGGUGGGCGGUACUUGCCCACUAGCCCUCUCGCCCUUUAAAUAAAGUUGCCUUUUU